rnacentral:rRNA from 1 species
GAUGAACGCUGGCGGCGUGCCUAAUACAUGCAAGUCGAGCGAAUGGAUUAAGAGCUUGCUCUUAUGAAGUUAGCGGCGGACGGGUGAGUAACACGUGGGUAUCCUGCCCAUAAGACUGGGAUAACGCCGGGAAACCGGGGCUAAUACCGGAUAACAUGUUGAAGCGCAUGGUUCGAAAUUGAAAGGCGGCUUCGGAUGUCCCUCAUGGAUGGACCCGCGUCGCAUUAGCUAGUUGGUGAGGUAACGGCUCACCAAGGCAACGAUGCGUCGCCGACCUUAGAGGGUGAUCGGCCACACUGGGGCUGAGACACGGCCCAGACUCCUACGGGAGGCAGCAGUAGGGAAUCUUCCGCAAUGGACGAAAGUCUGACGGAGCAACGCCGCGUGAGUGAUGAAGGCUUUCGGGUCGUAAAACUCUGUUGUUAGGGAAGAACAAGUGCUAGUUGAAUAAGCUGGCACCUUGACGGUACCUAACCAGAAAGCCACGGCUAACUACGUGCCAGCCGCCGCCGUAA